AAAAAUAAUUUCAAUGAUUUAUUGCAGAUUAUUAUUUAAUAUUUUCGAGAAAUCAGAUUCAUAUUAAUUUGAUUAUCAAAAUAGAAUAGCAAUUUAUAUUUUCGUUGAAAAAUUACAACGGAAUUAAAAGAACAACGAAAUGAUGAAACAAUAAACAAACAUUUAAAUACAUUUAAAUAAUUCUUCUAUAUAAUGCAUUAUUAAUUGAAUCACGAAUCAAGAACAAUGUUUUUAUAUUAUUAAUAAUUAUAGCGCGCAUUUCUCCUUUUCGAUGCAACAAAUUCGAAUUUUUAAAAUAAUGUUCCAUCUUGAAAUUCAUGAAAAUUCACCGUAAGUAUUUAUUGGUAUAUCUGAGAUGAUAGAAUCAAUGAUGAUUGAGUGUUUCCUCUAUGAAAAUAUCGUGAAGAAUAGCGUCGUGCUGUUCAAAACGUUCGUCGUUCAAGAAUCAUAUCCUACAUACGGAUUUAUAAAAGUCAUCUAUGAGACAUCAUAAUGCGAUCGUGCAACGGGAAAAAACAUUUCGAUCAAGAAAUCAGAAAGGUUUCACAACUGCGUCGUGAAAAAAAACACUUGUAGAAAAAAUAAAUUCGAUUCACAAACCUGGAUUUGGGCGCGUUUAACCUCGGUGUAGAGCCAGUUGUCUGUAGAAAAGGCGAUUGCCAAGAGGCCAGUGGCAAUGAUACCGGUUAUGGUCGCGAGAGACAGCGUCACCGCAGAACAAGGCAUUUUGGUAACCUCUUCUUCUUCUUCUUUUUUUCCUUUUCUAUUUUUCGUCGAUUUUCCUUCUAGAUUCCACUCUGAUCAAGCGUUACAUUCACCUCACACGUACGACACCACUGUAAGCUAGAUAGAUAUUGAGGAACAAGUAGUCGUUGUCGCCCUCAAGACUAUCGAGCAUCCGUGAAAAAGUGAAUCACGAAACAGAUCACGAACCAUUCAGAACGAAUUGGUCCAAAUGAGAAAGCUUUCAAUUCAAUGACCGAAUUUGAUAACCCGAUAUAUGAAGAGGAAAC